rnacentral:rRNA from 1 species
CGGGGUAGAGUAACGCGUGAGGAACCUGCCUCAAAGAGGGGGACAACAGUUGGAAACGACUGCUAAUACCGCAUAAGCCCACGGCUCGGCAUCGAGCAGAGGGAAAAGGAGCAAUCCGCUUUGAGAUGGCCUCGCGUCCGAUUAGCUAGUUGGUGAGGUAACGGCCCACCAAGGCGACGAUCGGUAGCCGGACUGAGAGGUUGAACGGCCACAUUGGGACUGAGACACGGCCCAG